rnacentral:rRNA from 1 species
CUGUGAGCUCGAUGAGUAGGGCGGGACACGUGGUAUCCUGUCUGAAUAUGGGGGGACCAUCCUCCAAGGCUAAAUACUCCUGACUGACCGAUAGUGAACCAGUACCGUGAGGGAAAGGCGAAAAGAACCCCGGCGAGGGGAGUGAAAAAGAACCUGAAACCGUGUACGUACAAGCAGUGGGAGCACGCUUAGGCGUGUGACUGCGUACCUUUUGUAUAAUGGGUCAGCGACUUAUAUUCUGUAGCAAGGUUAACCGAAUAGGGGAGCCGAAGGGAAACCGAGUCUUAACUGGGCGUUAAGUUGCAGGGUAUAGACCCGAAACCCGGUGAUCUAGCCAUGGGCAGGUUGAAGGUUGGGUAACACUAACUGGAGGACCGAACCGACUAAUGUUGAAAAAUUAGCGGAUGACUUGUGGCUGGGGGUGAAAGGCCAAUCAAACCGGGAGAUAGCUGGUUCUCCCCGAAAGCUAUUUAGGUAGCGCCUCGUGAAUUCAUCUCCGGGGGUAGAGCACUGUUUCGGCAAGGGGGUCAUCCCGACUUACCAACCCGAUGCAAACUGCGAAUACCGGAGAAUGUUAUCACGGGAGACACACGGCGGGUGCUAACGUCCGUCGUGAAGAGGGAAACAACCCAGACCGCCAGCUAAGGUCCCAAAGUCAUGGUUAAGUGGGAAACGAUGUGGGAAGGCCCAGACAGCCAGGAUGUUGGCUUAGAAGCAGCCAUCAUUUAAAGAAAGCGUAAUAGCUCACUGGUCGAGUCGGCCUGCGCGGAAGAUGUAACGGGGCUAAACCAUGCACCGAAGCUGCGGCAGCGACGCUUAUGCGUUGUUGGGUAGGGGAGCGUUCUGUAAGCCUGUGAAGGUGUGCUGUGAGGCAUGCUGGAGGUAUCAGAAGUGCGAAUGCUGACAUAAGUAACGAUAAAGCGGGUGAAAAGCCCGCUCGCCGGAAGACCAAGGGUUCCUGUCCAACGUUAAUCGGGGCAGGGUGAGUCGACCCCUAAGGCGAGGCCGAAAGGCGUAGUCGAUGGGAAACAGGUUAAUAUUCCUGUACUUGGUGUUACUGCGAAGGGGGGACGGAGAAGGCUAUGUUGGCCGGGCGACGGUUGUCCCGGUUUAAGCGUGUAGGCUGGUUUUCCAGGCAAAUCCGGAAAAUCAAGGCUGAGGCGUGAUGACGAGGCACUACGGUGCUGAAGCAACAAAUGCCCUGCUUCCAGGAAAAGCCUCUAAGCAUCAGGUAACAUCAAAUCGUACCCCAAACCGACACAGGUGGUCAGGUAGAGAAUACCAAGGCGCUUGAGAGAACUCGGGUGAAGGAACUAGGCAAAAUGGUGCCGUAACUUCGGGAGAAGGCACGCUGAUAUGUAGGUGAAGUCCCUCGCGGAUGGAGCUGAAAUCAGUCGAAGAUACCAGCUGGCUGCAACUGUUUAUUAAAAACACAGCACUGUGCAAACACGAAAGUGGACGUAUACGGUGUGACGCCUGCCCGGUGCCGGAAGGUUAAUUGAUGGGGUUAGCGCAAGCGAAGCUCUUGAUCGAAGCCCCGGUAAACGGCGGCCGUAACUAUAACGGUCCUAAGGUAGCGAAAUUCCUUGUCGGGUAAGUUCCGACCUGCACGAAUGGCGUAAUGAUGGCCAGGCUGUCUCCACCCGAGACUCAGUGAAAUUGAACUCGCUGUGAAGAUGCAGUGUACCCGCGGCAAGACGGAAAGACCCCGUGAACCUUUACUAUAGCUUGACACUGAACAUUGAGCCUUGAUGUGUAGGAUAGGUGGGAGGCUUUGAAGUGUGGACGCCAGUCUGCAUGGAGCCGACCUUGAAAUACCACCCUUUAAUGUUUGAUGUUCUAACGUUGACCCGUAAUCCGGGUUGCGGACAGUGUCUGGUGGGUAGUUUGACUGGGGCGGUCUCCUCCUAAAGAGUAACGGAGGAGCACGAAGGUUGGCUAAUCCUGGUCGGACAUCAGGAGGUUAGUGCAAUGGCAUAAGCCAGCUUGACUGCGAGCGUGACGGCGCGAGCAGGUGCGAAAGCAGGUCAUAGUGAUCCGGUGGUUCUGAAUGGAAGGGCCAUCGCUCAACGGAUAAAAGGUACUCCGGGGAUAACAGGCUGAUACCGCCCAAGAGUUCAUAUCGACGGCGGUGUUUGGCACCUCGAUGUCGGCUCAUCACAUCCUGGGGCUGAAGUAGGUCCCAAGGGUAUGGCUGUUCGCCAUUUAAAGUGGUACGCGAGCUGGGUUUAGAACGUCGUGAGACAGUUCGGUCCCUAUCUGCCGUGGGCGCUGGAGAACUGAGGGGGGCUGCUCCUAGUACGAGAGGACCGGAGUGGACGCAUCACUGGUGUUCGGGUUGUCAUGCCAAUGGCACUGCCCGGUAGCUAAAUGCGGAAGAGAUAAGUGCUGAAAGCAUCUAAGCACGAAACUUGCCCCGAGAUGAGUUCUCCCUGACCCUUUAAGGGUCCUGAAGGAACGUUGAAGACGACGACGUUGAUAGGCCGGGUGUGUAAGCGCAGCGAUGCGUUGAGCUAACCGGUACUAAUGAACCGUGAGGCUUAACCUU